UCUUUUCCCUUUCUUCAUGAGUUUAUUUAUUUUUUAUUCCUUCGAACUUCUUUUUUAUUUUUUCCUCAUCAGAUGUUUUAUUCUCUCUCAACCACGUCUCUCCAUCUUUUCCCUUUCCGAACGAUUCUUCCUCUCGCAGCCACCACCGCGCCAACCCCGGCCAGCACCACCGCGUCAACCUCGGUCGGCACCACCGCGCCAACCUCACCACCACCAGUACCCUUAUCUCUAUUUGUCACUGAAUUUAAAUCAUAUCAAGGACCAGCCAUCGCCGCUACCACCGCGAUCUCAAUCAGUCUCUCUACAAGUCGGGAGAUUGAGUAACUUCAGACUUGGAUUGUGUUUAAAGAAUGAGGUAUUAUGUUAUUAAUUGUGUGAUUGAGACUAUUUGGGACAUUGGAUUUCUUGCGUAGGGUUUGUGUAGUAGGGCAUUUAAUCUACCUUUUUUUUAAUUCCAAGUGAUUGUACUUGUAGCUACACGAGUAUUUAAAAGCAACAUGUUAUUAUUUAUUUCAAAGAAUACUGUCUUCCAUGUUUCUUACAUGAUCAUGUGAGGCUACCACUUGACAUAUUUACUUUAUUUUAUCUUUUUAUUAUGACAGACUAUGAUGAAAUUGAUGGUACAUUGUAAUGUGAAGGGUUUUGAGGUUCAGGAUUCUAUUCUUUUACCUUUCCUUCUUCGCUUGGGUAAUUAUUUAUUUCAUUCUCAAGUAUACUAUGUCUACCACUACGUUUUCUUUCAUUUUAGUGUUAUGAAUUUUGUUAAUGCAGAUAAAUAAACAGAAAACCCUUGAAGGUGAGCAAUUAUCUGAUUUUUCUAGGAGAGUCAUACCACUGCUUGAGGACUAAGCGAACGAAAAAUAUGAUGAUGUAUUCGCAUACAGGCACUAAACAACGUCGACGAGGGAUUGGAAACAUUUUUCACCAGAAAAAUACUAUUCAAUCAGACAGAUGAGUGAAAUAUGAUCAACAAUGGAGGGAAAUAUGCGAAAAAAAUAUAUAUCAGUCUUGCUAACUACAUACAUCAACUGCAACCACCAUUACAAAAAUAUAUGUUUAAGGUACCAUCUUUGAGUUAUUCGUUUCUUAACUCUCCAUAACUCUCCAACAGUUUUGAGUUUUUGCUAUAUUUAUACUUUAAUGUCUAUUUGAAAUUCUUUAUGUUGCCAUACUUCUUUUCAUAUAUUGAAAAUGAUCAAGCACCAAUUUCUGAAGGAAAACCAACUUUGUCAAGGAAAAUGAAGAGUAGAUGACUUUUGAGUUGUAUAGAAUGUAAGUUAAAUCAUGUUGUGAAUAAUUGAAGCCGUUUAUUUUCUAAUUUUAUUUCCUUUUUUGGCUCCUGAAU